rnacentral:rRNA from 1 species
GACGUAGGAUGCAAGCGUUGUCCGGAAUUAUUGAGCGUAAAGAGUUCGUAGGCGGUUAUCUAAGUCUGGUGUUAAAGCCCGAAGCUCAACUUCGGCAUGGCAUUGGAAACUGGAUGGCUAGAGUGUGGUAGAGGUAUCGGGAAUUCCUGGUGUAGCGGUGAAAUGCGUAGAUAUCAGGAGGAACACCGGUGGCGAAAGCGCGAUACUGGGCCAUAACUGACGCUGAGGAACGAAAGCCAGGGGAGCGAAAGGG